UGAGAGUCGACAACAUAAAUUUAUUAUUAUAUUUUUAUAGGAUUAUUAUUUGAGGUAUAAUUGAUGUAAGAGUUCCAAAUAUUGUUGAAAUUUUAUAAAAGAUUAAAGUUGAUUUUACUUAGUCAAAUUUUGAAAUUUCACUAUAAUGCAUUGAUAUCAUGUUUGGAAUGUCAUGCAUGUUUGUGGAGAGAGUUCUCCAUGAGUAUGCAACAGUUGCCAUGACUCCUAGACUCAUGAUCUC
rnacentral:lncRNA from 1 species